rnacentral:lncRNA from 1 species
AGUUUUGCUUUGAAAGGGUCAGAAAAAUGAGGUAAUAACUGGAAGGUAACGUGAGGUCAAAGGAGGUUUUUUUUUUUUUUUUUUUUUUUUUUUUAAAUAGCUAGUUUGUAUGUUUAUGUUUAUUGGAAUGGUCUGGUAGACAGAGAAAGUCUAAUGAUAUAUGGAGAGUCACAGGAUAAUUGCAGGCUUGAAUUUCUUGACCAUGGGAAGAGGGAAUCAAAUCCAGAAAUUGAGGGGGAAAGUUGGCAUUUUUAGGCACUGGGAAACUUCUUUGUUUCAUUAUAAAAAGAGGAAGGCAAAGACUGUGAGUGCAGAUGCAGAUAAGCUAAUCAAGUUGGUAGUGGGAAGUUGAGGGAGCUCCCACCUGAUUGCUUUUCUUUUCUCAGGGAAGAAUGAGGUGAGUUCAUGAGCUGUGGAGGGGAGAGAGUUUAGGAGAUUUGAAGAGAAAGAAGAUCUGAAACGUCUCAAAGAAUGAGAAAUACAGUAGCAUUCUCAGGCACUGGUGUGCUCUCCUAAGAUUAAUGGUCAUAAAUUUAGAGAAAGAUCAAUCUACGUGGUUGUUGAUUUUCUCCAGAAACGUUCAGCUUCUGGGGCAGAGAGGCAGAGAAGGUGGAAAGCUGAGUUGAACCAGUGUCGGGUGUGAUUAAACAGGAAGGAGAGAGGGACAAAAGAGUUAAAGAGCUAAUGAUGCCAUGGUAUUGUCCUGGGAAGGAAUAUAAGAAAAUGGAGAAGAGAAGCACAAUAACAAGUUCAGAAAGAUGAUAUUUUCACCACUCAGAAUUUUAGGUUCACAUUUAAAGAAUCUUAUGGAAGUCGGAAAAGGAAAGAACCAAUACAGCCUUUUCAGUUGUGGAAGAAUUAUUUGAAAUGUACUCUACUAUGUUACUGAAAAAGCACCACUGCUGGGAAAAGCUCAAUUCAAAUGUCUCUCCAAGUUUCUAGUUGAGAAUGUUUUCUGAGAGUUCAGAGUAAAGAGAUCCUCCUCAGGAGCCCCAGCUUACCUGGAAACUCAGGCACCUGUGAUUUCCCCUGGUUGCGGACCACACCCCUAAGACUUACGUGAUCAGGAUUAACAUAGAUAAUUCAAUAUUAACAUUGGCCUGUUCGGUUGAAAGCAGGAACUUUCUUUAUGUAAUGGCUUAUAUUAUUUGCUUCCUUCGUUAAAUUUCAUGCAAAAAAAUAGGUCUAAUAUUUUUCACUGGUGCAGUAUUCAACUCAGUUUAAAACUGCUUGUAAAGCAAGAUAGCAC